ensembl:snRNA U4 U4 spliceosomal RNA
AGCUUUGUGCAGUGGCAGUAUCGUAGCCAAUGAGGUUUAUCCGAGGUGCGAUUAUUACUAAUUGAAAACUUAACAAGUCAGCAUCUCUGCUGAACACCUGUGACAACAGCAUGUAGGACAAAUGAAAGAUAGUUAAAUAG